CAUGCCCCUUAUACGCUGGGCUACACACGUGCUACAAUGGGUAGAACAGAGAGUCGCAAAGCUGUGAAGUGGAGCUAAUCUCAGAAAACUAUUCUUAGUUCGGAUUGUACUCUGCAACUCGAGUACAUGAAGUUGGAAUCGCUAGUAAUCGCGAAUCAGCAAUGUCGCGGUGAAUACGUUCUCGGGUCUUGUACACACCGCCCGUCACACCACGAGAGUUGGUUGCACCUGAAGUAGCAGGCCUAACCGUAAGGAGGGAUGCUCCGAGGGUGUGAUUAGCGAUUGGGGUGAAGUCGUAACAAGGUAUCCGUACGGGAACGUGCGGAUGGAUCACCUCCUUUCUAAGGAGUAUAAGUCUUUCUCUAUUCUAUUGGUAAUGUUCUUUACAUUACUUCUGAACAUUGGAAACUAUAUAGUAGAACAAGCAAGAAAAAAAUUAACUCUAACAAUUUCUUAGAGUUAGCUGUCAAAAAAAUAGGUUAAAAUAAUUAAGGGCACACAAAGGAUGCCUAGGUAGUAAGAGCCGAUGAAGGACGUGGUAAGCUGCGAUAAGCCUAG
rnacentral:sRNA from 1 species